rnacentral:rRNA from 1 species
AUUGAACGCUGGCGGCAGGCCUAACACAUGCAAGUCGAGCGGAUGAAGGGAGCUUGCUCCUGGAUUCAGCGGCGGACGGGUGAGUAAUGCCUAGGAAUCUGCCUGGUAGUGGGGGAUAACGUCCGGAAACGGGCGCUAAUACCGCAUACGUCCUUAGGGAGAAAGUGGGGGUUCUUCGGACCUCACGCUAUCAGAUGAGCCUAGGUCGGAUUAGCUAGUUGGUGGGGUAAAGGCCUACCAAGGCGACGAUCCGUAACUGGUCUGAGAGGAUGAUCAGUCACACUGGAACUGAGACACGGUCCAGACUCCUACGGGAGGCAGCAGUGGGGAAUAUUGGACAAUGGGCGAAAGCCUGAUCCAGCCAUGCCGCGUGUGUGAAGAAGGUCUUCGGAUUGUAAAGCACUUUAAGUUGGGAGGAAGGGCAGUAAGUUAAUAACUUGCUGUUUUGACGUUACCAACAGAAUAAGCACCGGCUAACUUCGUG